CCUACGGGCGGCAGCAGUGAGGAAUAUUGGUCAAUGGACGUAAGUCUGAACCAGCCAAGUCGCGUGAAGGAAGAAGGCUCUAUGGGUUGUAAACUUCUUUUAUAGGGGAAUAAAGGUAUCCACGUGUGUAUAUUUGCAUGUACCCUAUGAAUAAGCAUCGGCUAACUCCGUGCCAGCAGCCGCGGUAAUACGGAGGAUGCGAGCGUUAUCCGGAUUUAUUGGGUUUAAAGGGUGCGUAGGUUGUUUUUUAAGUUAGCGGUGAAAGUUUGUGGCUCAACCAUAAAAUUGCCGUUGAAACUGGAAGACUAGAGAGUGUUUGAGGUAGGCGGAAUGUGUGGUGUAGCGGUGAAAUGCAUAGAUAUCAUGCAGAACUCCGAUUGCGAAGGCAGCUUACUAAGCCAUAACUGACACUGAAGCACGAAAGCGUGGGGAUCAAACAGGAUUAGAUACCCGUGUAGUC
rnacentral:rRNA from 1 species